rnacentral:lncRNA from 1 species
UAUUGGCAACAUGUGCUGGCUUUAUUGUGUUAAUGGCAUGCGAUUCUGCAGAUCUGAACUAACACCAAUCUUUUUUCUCCCUCCAGAUGAAAAAGCCCUGAGCCUACAUUCUGCUUUGCCAGUCGCUGUUUCCUGUCACUCGCAAUGGCCUCUUCCCAGGAGGCACGCCGUGCUUCCCUCACAAGACACAGGCAGGCUGUAA